UAGGGAAUCUUCGGCAAUGGACGAAAGUCUGACCGAGCAACGCCGCGUGAGUGAAGAAGGUUUUCGGAUCGUAAAACUCUGUUGUUAGAGAAGAACAAGGACGUUAGUAACUGAACGUCCCCUGACGGUAUCUAACCAGAAAGCCACGGCUAACUACGUGCCAGCAGCCGCGGUAAUACGUAGGUGGCAAGCGUUGUCCGGAUUUAUUGGGCGUAAAGCGAGCGCAGGCGGUUACUUAAGUCUGAUGUGAAAGCCCCCGGCUCAACCGGGGAGGGUCAUUGGAAACUGGCAGACUUGAGUGCAGAAGAGGAGAGUGGAAUUCCAUGUGUAGCGGUGAAAUGCGUAGAUAUAUGGAGGAACACCAGUGGCGAAGGCGGCUCUCUGGUCUGUAACUGACGCUGAGGCUCGAAAGCGUGGGGAGCAAACAGG
rnacentral:rRNA from 1 species